rnacentral:rRNA from 1 species
AGUGAACGCUGGCGGUAGGCCUAACACAUGCAAGUCGAACGGCAGCACAGGAGAGCUUGCUCUCUGGGUGGCGAGUGGCGGACGGGUGAGGAAUACAUCGGAAUCUACUCUGUCGUGGGGGAUAACGUAGGGAAACUUACGCUAAUACCGCAUACGACCUACGGGUGAAAGCAGGGGACCUUCGGGCCUUGCGCGAUUGAAUGAGCCGAUGUCGGAUUAGCUAGUUGGCGGGGUAAAGGCCCACCAAGGCGACGAUCCGUAGCUGGUCUGAGAGGAGGAUCAGCCACACUGGAACUGAGACACGGUCCAGACUCCUACGGGAGGCAGCAGUGGGGAAUAUUGGACAAUGGGCGCAAGCCUGAUCCAGCCAUAUCGCGUGGGUGAAGAAGGCCUUCGGGUUGUAAAGCCCUUUUGUUGGGGAAGAAAUCCAGCUGGCUAAUACCCGGUUGGGAUGACGGUACCCAAAGAAUAAGCACCGGCUAACUUCGUGCCAGCCGCCGCCGUAA